rfam:Dipodomys ordii contig_54570, whole genome shotgun sequence.
GGUGGCUCACUGGUAGAGUGCUUGCCUUGCAUGCAUGAGGCCCUGGGUUCAAUUCCUCAGCACCA